CCUACGGGAGGCAGCAGUGAGGAAUAUUGGUCAAUGGGCGCGAGCCUGAACCAGCCAAGUAGCGUGAAGGAUGACUGCCCUACGGGUUGUAAACUUCUUUUAUAAAGGAAUAAAGUGAGGCACGUGUGCCUUUUUGUAUGUUCUUUAUGAAUAAGGAUCGGCUGACUCCGUUCCAGCAGCCGCGGUAAUACGGGGGAUCCGAGCGUUAGCCUGCUUUAUGUGGUUGAAAGGGAGCGGAGGUGGGUUGUUAAGUCAGUUGUGAAAGUUUGCGGCUCAACCGUAAAAGUGCAAUUGAUACUGGCAGUCUUGAGUACAGUUGAGGUAGGCGGAAUGCGUGGUGUAGCGGUGAAAUGCUUAGAUAUCACGAAGAACUCCGAUUGCGAAGGCAGUUUACUAAACUGCCACUGACAUUGAUGCUCGAAAGUGUGGGUAUCAAACAGGAUUAGAUACCCUGGUAGUC
rnacentral:rRNA from 1 species